AUUGAACGCUGGCGGCAUGCCUUACACAUGCAAGUCGAACGGUAGCGGGCCUUCGGGUGCCGACGAGUGGCGAACGGGUGAGUAAUGCAUCGGAACGUGCCAUUGAGUGGGGGAUAACGUAGCGAAAGUUACGCUAAUACCGCAUAUUCUGUGAGCAGGAAAGCAGGGGACCGCAAGGCCUUGCGCUCUUUGAGCGGCCGAUGUCAGAUUAGCUAGUUGGUGAGGUAAAGGCUUACCAAGGCGACGAUCUGUAGCGGGUCUGAGAGGAUGAUCCGCCACACUGGAACUGAGACACGGUCCAGACUCCUACGGAGGCAGCAGUGGGGAAUUUUGGACAAUGGGGGCAACCCUGAUCCAGCCAUGCCGCGUGAGUGAAGAAGGCCUCGGUUGUAA
rnacentral:rRNA from 1 species